AUACGGAGGAUCCGAGCGUUAUCCGGAUUUAUUGGGUUUAAAGGGAGCGUAGGUGGAUAGUUAAGUCAGUUGUGAAAGUUUGCGGCUCAACCGUAAAAUUGCAGUUGAUACUGGCUGUCUUGAGUAUAGUAGAGGUGGGAGGAAUUUGUGGUGGAGCGGUGAAAUGCUUAGAUAUCACGAAGAACUCCGAUUGCGAAGGCAGCUCACUGGACUGCAACUGACACUGAUGCUCGAAAGUGUGGGUAUCAAACAGGAUUAGAUACCCUGGUAGUCCACACAGUAAACGAUGAAUACUCGCUGUUUGCGAUAUACAGUAAGCGGCCAAGCGAAAGCAUUAAGUAUUCCACCUGGGGAGUACGCCGGCAACGGUGAAACUCAAAGGAAUUGACGGGG
rnacentral:rRNA from 1 species